GGCGGGGGCGUGUGCGCA
rnacentral:misc_RNA from 1 species